rnacentral:rRNA from 1 species
CCUACGGGUGGCUGCAGUGGGGAAUAUUGGACAAUGGGGGGAACCCUGAUCCAGCCAUGCCGCGUGUGUGAAGAAGGCCCUCGGGUUGUAAAGCACUUUCAGUGAGGAAGAACGCCUGGUGGUUAAUACCCAUCAGGAAAGACAUAACUCACAGAAGAAGCACCGGCUAACUCCGUGCCAGCAGCCGCGGUAAUACGGAGGGUGCGAGCGUUAAUCGGAAUUACUGGGCGUAAAGCGCGCGUAGGUGGCUUGAUAAGCCGGUUGUGAAAGCCCCGGGCUCAACCUGGGAACGGCAUCCGGAACUGUCAAGCUAGAGUGCAGGAGAGGAAGGUAGAAUUCCCGGUGUAGCGGUGAAAUGCGUAGAGAUCGGGAGGAAUACCAGUGGCGAAGGCGGCCUUCUGGACUGACACUGACACUGAGGUGCGAAAGCGUGGGUAGCAAACAGGAUUAGAUACCCCUGUAGUC